ensembl:lncRNA
CAGCAUCAGCAUGGCAGUGUGUCACCAUGGCAACGCGUCACAGCAUCAGCAUGGCUGUGAGUUGCCAUGGCAACGGGGCGCCGGGUCACCAUGGCAGCAUGUCACCAUGGCAACGCAUCCCAGCAUCAGCAUGGCAGUGUGUCACCAUGGCAACGCGGCACAGCAUCAGCAUGGCUGAGUUGCCAUGGCAACGGGUGCAGGGUCACCAUGGCAAUGAGGUGCUGGGUCACCAUGGCAACGGGGCGCCGAGUCACCAUGGCAACGCGUCACAGCAUCAGCAUGGCAACGUGUCGCCAUGGCAACGCGGCACAGCAUCAGCAUGGCAGUGUGUCACCAUGGCAACAGGGCACCGGGUCACCAUGACAACGCGUCACAGCAUCAGCAUGGCUGUGAGUUGCCAUGGCAACGCGGCGCUGGGUCACCAUGGCAACGCAUCUCCAUUGCAAAGUGUCACCAUGGCAACGCAUCACAGCAUCACCAUGGCAACGUGUCACCAUGNGGGGGGGGGGGACGGGGGGGGACACACACUUAGGGGGACACUUAGGGGGCACCACGUGACCCGUCGGUGACCCCAGGUGACCUGUAGGUGACCCCCUUGGUGACCCCUGGUGUCCUCUGGUGACCCCUAGGCGACCCCAGGUGACCCUUUGGUGACCCCAGGUGACCCCCUUGGUGACCCCUGGUGUCCUUUGGUGACCCCUUGGUGACCCCAGGUGACCCUUUGGUGACCCCCUUGGUGAUCCCUGGUGUCCUUUGGUGACCCCUAGGUGACCCCUUGGUGACCCCAGGUGACCCCUCGGCGACAUCACGUGACCCCUUGGUGACCCCAGGUGACCCUUUGGUGACCCCAGGUGACCCCCUUGGUGACCCCUGGUGUCCUUUGGUGACCCCUAGGUGACCCCUUGGUGACCCCAGGUGAGCCCUCGGCGACAUCACGUGACCCCUGUUGACCCUUGGUGACCCCAGGUGACCCGUCGGUGACCCCAGGUGACCUGUAGGUGACCCCCUUGGUGACCCCAGGUGACCCGUAGGUGACCCCUGGUGCCCUUUGGUGACCCCAGGUGACCCCUUGGUGACAUCAGGUGACCCUUGUUGACCGCCGGUGACCCCUUGGUGACAUCAGGUGACCCUUGCUGUCCCCAAGUGACCUCUCGGUGACAUCACGUGACCCCUUGGUGACCCCUGUUGACCCUUGGUGACCCGUCGGUGACCCCAGGUGACCUGUAGGUGACCCCCUUGGUCACCCCUGGUGUCCUUUGGUGACCCCUCGAUGACAUCAGGUGACCCCAGGUGACCCCUUGGUGACAUCACGUGACCCCCUUGGUGACCCCAGGUGACCCACAGGUGACCCCUUGAUGACCCUUGGUGACUUCAGGUGACCCCAGGUGACCUGUAGGUGACCCCCUGGUGUCCUUUGGUGACCCCUUGGUGACCCUUGGUGACCCCAGGUGACCUUUGGUGACCCCUUGGUGACAUCCGGUGACCCUUGUUGACCCCAGGUGACCCGUAGGUGACCCCCUGUUGACCCCUGGUGUCCCUUGGUGACAUCACGUGACACCCUGGUGACCC